UACGAAGGGAGCUAGCGUUGUUCGGAAUUACUGGGCGUAAAGGGGACGUAGGCGGCCAACUAAGUCCGACGUGAAAUCCCAAGGCUUAACCUUGGAACUGCGUCGGAUACUGGAUGGCUUGAAUUCGGGAGAGGGAUGCAGAAUUCCAGGUGUAGCGGUGAAAUGCGUAGAUAUCUGGAGGAAUACCGGUGGCGAAGGCGGCAUCCUGGACCGACAUUGACGCUGAAAGCCGAAAGCUAGGGGAGCAAACGGG
rnacentral:rRNA from 1 species